ACCCGCGCUCCUAACACGAAGCCGGGUGGAGGCAGAGCAGAGGGCCGGCGGCCGGGCCCCCCGCGGCUCCCCCACCAGGACCCAGGACCCAGGGCCCUCGCCUGAGCGCUCCUGCUCCUGCUCCGGGGCUGCAACCCCAAACCCCAAACCCCGAGAAGUCCUGCUACAAAGUCACACUUUGGGGCGACAAGGUCACAGAGGGGAGACGAGUGAGUGGUAACAGGAAUGCCAGGCACCUCCCCCUGAAACCCUUAGAGCAGGUGCAGCAGCAAGACAAUCGCUCAAGUCCUGGCCCAACGCAGAGCAAGGGAAUCAAAAGCCUGGGGCCCACCCAGCAAUCCACCUUCUGACCAGUCCUCCAGGUGCCCCUGCGGUGCACUCCAGUGGGAGAACCACCGGCCUGGAGCACUCUGGUCAGCCUCCUGAAUCCUGCGGGUACAGCCCAAGGCUCUUCCAUUGGCCUCAGGGAGCAGCUGCUUGAAAAUUUCUAUCCUGACACAGGAGUACCCAGGCCUCUGUCAGUAGCUCUCAAAGUUCCUCAGGAGGAAAAGAAAAGACGGUGCAGAAAGUUCCAUGUACAUCAGCAUGAAAAAGUAAUCCGUUAAAAUCUAACUGUAGGCUAAAUCAUUUGUGAUCCUCUCGGCUUCCAGUGUAGAGGUUAUUCAUUAUUUUUGCUAAGCGAGUAAAGUUAAUUUUUAAUAAAUUCAA